rnacentral:rRNA from 1 species
UACGUAGGGGGCUAGCGUUGUCCGGAAUCAUUGGGCGUAAAGAGCGUGUAGGCGGCCCGGUAAGUCCGCUGUGAAAGUCGGGGGCUCAACCCUCGGAUGCCGGUGGAUACUGUCGGGCUCGAGUACGGAAGAGGCGAGUGGAAUUCCUGGUGUAGCGGUGAAAUGCGCAGAUAUCAGGAGGAACACCUAUCGCGAAGGCAGCUCGCUGGGACGUUACUGACGCUGAGACGCGAAAGCGUGGGGAGCAAACAGG